CUACCGGGGUAUCUAAUCCUGUUUGCUCCCCACGCUUUCGUACCUCAGCGUCAGUUUGUGUCCAGAAAGUCGCCUUCGCUACUGGUAUUCCUCCUAAUAUCUACGUAUUUCACCACUACACUAGGAAUUCCACUUUCCUCUCCACUACUCAAGUUUAUCAGUUUCCAAUGCUUUACGGGGUUGAGCCCCGAUCUUUAACAUUCGACUUAUUAAACCGCCUGCGUACCCUUUACGCCCAAUAAUUCCGGACAACGCUCGCUCCAUACGUAUUACCGCGGCUGCUGGCAC
rnacentral:rRNA from 1 species